rnacentral:rRNA from 1 species
GACGAACGCUGGCGGCGUGCUUAACACAUGCAAGUCGAACGUGAUUUUUGUGGAAAUUCUUUCGGGAAUGGAAAUGAAAUGAAAGUGGCGAACGGGUGAGUAACACGUGAGCAACCUACCUUACACAGGGGGAUAGCCGUUGGAAACGACGAUUAAUACCGCAUGAGACCACAGAAUCGCAUGAUAUAGGGGUCAAAGAUUUAUCGGUGUAAGAAGGGCUCGCGUCUGAUUAGCUAGUUGGAAGGGUAAAGGCCUACCAAGGCGACGAUCAGUAGCCGGUCUGAGAGGAUGAACGGCCACAUUGGAACUGAGACACGGUCCAAACUCCUACGGGAGGCAGCAGUGGGGAAUAUUGCACAAAUGGGGGGAAACCCCUGAUGCAGCGAACGCCGCGUGAAGCGAAGAAGGUUUUUCGAAUUCG